GUGCGGGUUCUGAAGCAGGUUCAUCUGCCGGCUCCUACGCCGGGUCUCGAGCUGGUUCAGGAUCAGGUGGCAAACAAGGAGCAGGCUCAGGAUCCGGCUCUGGACACGGUGAGGGAUAUGGCGAGGGUUCAGGCAGGGGAAGUGGCUCCGGCAACGGCGAAGGGUAUGGUGAGGGCCGUGGCCAUGGAUCAGGAUAUGGCAGUGGCAGUGGCAGUGGCAAUGGCAAUUAAAUGAAAAAAAAAUUGCUAUAUUUAAAUAAGUGUUUGACGCAUUUUAGGUUUCUUCAAGACUAUGAAAAGAGGGUUGGUCCAAGAUUUCCUAUUGCUUGUGUCCAAGCAUGGCUGUUUUUCUUUUUAUCCUCAACAUGUUUCUGUGCGCGCGCGUGCGUCUCUUUUGCAUGGCUGUGGCAUUAUAUUUCAACCAUUUGGAUGCAAAAGGAAAUGCUGUAAUAAAAAAUAAAAAAUACCAUUUCUCAGUAUGAAAUUACUCUUUCUUGAGCAUGCAUGAGUACAU
rnacentral:misc_RNA from 1 species